CGUAGGUGGCAAGCGUUGUCCGGAUUUAUUGGGUUUAAAGGGUGCGUAGGCGGCCCUGUAAGUCAGUGCUGAAAUAUCCCGGCUUAACCGGGAGGGUGGCAUUGAUACUGCAGGGCUUGAGUAAAGUUGAGGUAGGCGGAAUUGACGGUGUAGCGGUGAAAUGCUUAGAUAUCGUCAAGAACACCGAUAGUGUAGACAGCUUACUAAGCUUUAACUGACGCUGAGGCACGAAAGUGUGGGGAUCAAACAGGAUUAGAUACCCUGGUAGUCCACACUGUAAACGUUGAAGACUCGCUGUUGGCGAUACACAGUCAGCGGCUGAGAGAAAUCGUUAAGUCUUCCACCUGGGGAGUACGCCGGCAACGGUG
rnacentral:rRNA from 1 species